UCGCUGAUCAAGGAUCUUUAGGGAACCGUCAGAUUGCCUACCUACACCUGCGGACAUGAAACACAUGCCCCAUGAAAUAGGGAAUCAGUAUAAAAAAUGUACUGAAUAUGUAAGACAUGAAAAUCAGUACGUAAAAGACAUAGAUGAAACAUGGAAUAAAGAAAUCCAUCUGUAAAUCUAAAUAACUUUGAAAAUUCUGAAACAUUUAUAAUGUCAUGCAUGUGCAGAUAAAUGUCAAGCCAUUCAUAGAUAUGGAUGUACAUAAUAUCGUCAAGACAUUGAGAGAAUUCCAUCAUGUCAUUUCGGCCACUGUGGAUACUAUCGCCAAUAUAUACCAACUGAUCAGGUGGUGGUGCGUAUAUAACGCCGUAACUUUUUCCCAAACCCAUGUAUAUAAAUAUAUACAUAUAUGCGCUAAUAUAUCUCCAUUUGGUCAUGGGUCAAUUUAUAUGAAUAAAUUCAUGAAAUCUAUAAGAAAUACAUUAAUACGGUUUUCUAGAAAUGCCAUAAAAAUCAAUAUACAUUUCGGAUAAAUUUUAUCAAAUACGUAUUUUUCUGGAACCCAUGAACAGAAGGAAAUAAUAAUUUACAUGGAUAAUCAAGAAUAUAGACAUCCCUAAUAUUUCUAUGAAUAGAGUUAUUUAUAAGAGUUGCGUAUUUUUCUCAUUUUACUUUUACCGUAGGGAUCAUGCCAAAAGAAAGUGUCAUGCCCCGAGCAUGGGGGCAAGAGCGGCGCCCAGUACCUCACAUAUCCUUGCAUACCACUAGUAACUAAGAGACUCUGAACAUGCAAUGUCACAUUUUGACCAUGGGCCACAUUGUGAGAUAAUGUGCGAUGCAAAUUAUAAAACUAAAUAGAGACUAACGCUAACUAAACAUUAACAUAAAGAUGGGCCGGCAAGGCCGUCAUAAUUACUACAACUGACAAGCCAACAAAAUAUACGUCCACGACCUACAAUCCCAAUAUACUGCAGUAACUGAAAAGAUAUAUAUACAAUCCUCUACUGAUAGAUGUACUGUGAUCGGAACAGGGCCUCGACCUACCCUUAACCUAUCUACAUAUAUGCACAAGAUGUACUCCAAACUGCUAGAACCGAAAACUCCGAAAGACGGGGAGCUUACCGAUAAGACUGAACUUGGGCAUACUUCUACUGAAAAGGUCUACUCGUCCAUACGUUUGAACCUGUACGCAUGAAAUGCAGAGCCCCCAGAAAGGGAUUUCAGUACGAAAUAAUGUACCGUUUAUGUAAGGCAAUAUACUUAAGAUGAAACUGAAGUGAUAAUAUAAUAACUGAAAACAACUGAGAGUCAAAGAAAAUCUAAAGAUAUGCUCAUAUGCUGAUACUGACUCAAUUCUUUCAAUAUAGUUAGUAAAAUAGUUGUCCCGCCAGACUCGGUAUAUAUAUAUAUAUAGGUAUGGUNNNNNNNNNNNNNNNNNNNNNNNNNNNNNNNNNNNNNNNNUAUAUAUAUAUAUAUAUAUAUAUAUAUAUAUAUAUAUGCUCUUCCCUAGUAGGCUCGCUCAUAAGCGCUCGGCCAUACUGGGCUCUGUAUCUCGACCAAUAGGCUCACUCAUAAGUGAUCGGCCACAGUAGGCUCGGUAUAUAACUUACCAUCUGAUCAGAGUUUGCCCAAUAGGGGCUUGCCCGUCGAUUAUAGCUCGAUGGUAAUGAAAAUAAUUUAAUACUGUAUAUAUAAAGUCUCUGCUCUCUUGACUGGAAUAAGAAAAUACUUAAUUGAAUAUGAAGUCCCGGUAAGGAUAAUAUUGUAACUUAUAAAACUAGAAUGAUAUACGCAGUUUGCGAGACUAGCAAAAUAUACGUAAAUUCCAGGAUAUGAAUUUUUCUUUAUACCUCGUUAUAAACUUGUGUAAUGACGAAAUCAUGCCAAAAUGAAAAAAGAAUUUAGUCUUAACAAACCUGUUCCUGAAAUUAUUUGAACGAGUCUGCUUCUGCGAAAUAUGGACGAAACCUAAACUUGAAAUUUCGGAAAACUUACUCUACCUUUAACGUUUUUUUGAAUGGAAUUUUGGUUGAGGAAUGAAUUUGUGUGACAUGUUCUUGCUCUUUUACGUUUUGGUCACAUGUACAGAAUGUAAAUGUUGAUCUUGGUCUUCAAAUGAAAUGUGUAUCCCUUUUGAUUGAUAAAGCUCACAAUUAAGUCUUGAUAAGACUUUAACUCACCUUAUACUAAUGGGAGCUGCCACGUUACUCUUUGGGGCUGAUUUUGUUAAUUUAUCCAUUUAUUAGUUAACUGAAUAAUGUUUCGUUACUCAAUAACUAAUUUAUUUCCCACAUAAUUUUAAACUUAUUACAAAUUAUUUAAAAAUUUAUUAAUUCUCAAAAUACUUUAUAUAUUAUAGUACUGUGGUCAUAUGGUACCUUGAAUGGUUACUAAUUUAUUAUUAUCAGGUCUGUAUUUUAUCUCAAAUUGUCCAUUUGCAACGAAACUUGUUUCCUCUAAUUCAUGCAUCCUCUAUCCUUCGUGAGACUUAUUUAUUACUUGUUAUAUAUAGCGUAAAAACAUUAACGUCAAGAUGAUCUUACCCCCGAGUCUACAUCAAUUAACUGAAAACGAAAUUUUUAACGUACGAAAAACGCGAGUUGUAACAUCCUUCCCCCAUAAGAAACAUUCGUCCUCGAAUGUUCAACUCUCCGCGAUCCAAAUAACUUUCGCAAGGCCACCUUUAUAACAAAACUACUACAGCUCUCCCUAUAGUAGCUUAAUAAUCUAAUGCCAUACCGAACCACAAUUAUCAGUAACGAUAAUGACCUUACAUGACCACUAAAAAAUUAACACAAGAACCUAUACACGUACCUUUCAUUAUGACAUCUUAGUCGGACCCUUUUCUGGAGGAGGAAAUAAGUAGGGAUAUCUAAACUUCAUGCUUUCCUCGACCUCCCAAGUCAUCUCUUCUACAUUGUUUAUUUCUCCAAAGUACUUUCACGGAAGCUACCUCCUUAUUCCGCAGCUUGCAGAUUCGUAGGUCAAGGAUGGGCAAUCGAAACCUCCUCGUAUGAUAAGUUCUCUGUAAUCUGUAUAUUAUUUGUGGGAACCAUUCGGGUAGGAUCGUCAAUGCACUUUCGUAACAUAGAUACGUGAAAUAUCGGAUAGGCAGACUCUGAUCCAAGGUCAAUUCUAACUCAUAAGCUGCUUGAUCCACUUUCUAAAUGAUCCUAUACGGUCCAAUAUACCGUGGGCUAAGUUUGCCUUUCUUGCAGAACCUCAUCAUGUCUUGCAUAGGUGACGCCUUUAAGAAUACCCAGUCAUCAACUCUUAACUCUAAGUCUCGUCGUUGCACGUCAGAAUAUGACUUCUAACGACUCUGAGCUGUCAACAGUCGCUCCCGAAUAAUCUUUACUUUUUCUAUGUCCUGUUGAACUAGGUAUGGCACAUAUAACCCGGAUUCUCCAACAUCAAACCACUCUACAGGAGAUCUGCACAUGUGCCCGUAUAAAGCCUCGUGCGGAGCUAUCUGGAUACUGGAGUGGUAACUGUUAUUAUAUGCAAACUCGAUAAGAGGUUGGUGUUCAUCCCAACUUCUUUUAAAAUUCGGCACACAUGCUCGCAACAUAUCCUCGGGCGUCUGAAUCGUGCGCUCGACUUGUCCAUCCGUUUGUGGAUGAAAAGUCGUGAUGAGAUUCACCUGAGCUCCUAGACUUUUCUGAAAUGACCUCCAAAAAUGUGUUGUAUACUGAGCACCACGAUCAGAUAUAAUAGAUAUUGGCACUCCAUGUAGUCACACUAUUUCUUUAAUAUAUAACUUUGCAUAGUAAUCUAUUGUAUAUGUAGAUUUGACUAGUAGGAAAUGAGCUGAUUUCAUGAGCCUAUUGACUACCACCCAUAUGGAAUUAAACUUACGUUGAGAACUAGGUAAACCCGUGAUAAAGUACAUAUUUAUCGCCUCCCAUUUUCAUGUCGGGAUCUUUAUAGUCUGCAUUAGCCCUCCAGGCUUCUGGUGCUCUAUCUUCACAUGCUAGCAACUAAGGCAUUGAGCGACAUACUCAGCAAUGUUCUUCUUUGUAUCGUUCGACUAAUACACAUCCUUAAUGUCAUGAUACAUUUUUAUCGGCCCGGGGGGAAUGGAAUACCAUGAAUAAUGUUCCUCUGACAUAAUCUUGUCUCGUAGCCCUGCUAUAUCUGGAACACACAAACGAUCUCUGUAUCUGAGAACCCCAUCUCCUUUGAGUUCUCACAACGGCUACUUUUGUUGUGGAACCUACUCCCUCGACUUGACUAACUCUGGAUCCUCAUACUGCCUUUCCUUUACUUCAGCUAUGGGGGAUGAUUUUGUAGUAUUUUGGAGUACAAUCCCUCAAUUGCCAGAGUCUACUAACCAAACCCCCAAAUAAGCCAAUUGUUGAAUUUUUCUGGUUAAAGUCUUUUCUCACCUUCUACAUAUGCUAAGCUACCCAUAGAUCGACUACAUAAGCCAUCUGCUACAACAUUAGCUUUCCCUGGAUGGUAGAGAAUGCUAACAUCGUAAUCUUUCAAUAACUCAAGUCAUCGCCUUUGUAGCAAAUUCAACUCUUUUUGCUUGAAGAUAUAUUGCACGCUUUUACGAUCUGUGAACACAUCAACAUGAACACCAUAUAAAUAAUGUCGCCAUAUCUUAAGUGCAUGGACAACCACAGCUAAUUCGAGGUCGUGGCUCGGAUAAUUAUUCUCAUGCUUCUUUAACUUUCGUGAAGCAUAUGCAAUUACAUUCCCAUGUUGCAUCAGGACAUAUCCUAACCCGACACUUGAGGCAUCACAAUACAUGCAAUAACCAUCUGGACCUUCUGGAAGUGCUAGAACUAGCACUGAGGUCAACCUGUUCUUAAGCUCUUGGAAAAUCUGCUCACAUGCCUUUGUCCACUAAAACUUAGUCGUUUUCUGUGUCAGCUUAAUGGUGCUGAAAGAGAAUAAAAACCCUCUACGAACCUCCGGUAAUAUCCUGUUAAUCCUAGAAAGCUACGAAUCUCUAUCAGAGUGGCAGGUCUAGGCCAGGAUUUUACUACCUCAAUCUUCUGAGUGUCUACCUUUAUACCUCCGUCGAAUAUAAUAUGUCCCAAGAAUGCUACAGACCUUAACCAGAACUCAUACUUAGAAAACUUGGCAUACAAUUUAUUAUAACGGAGGGCUUGGAGUACAGCUCACAGGUGAUCCACAUGCUCAUCAUCUAAACGUUAAUAAAUCAGAAUAUCAUCAAUAAAGACUAUCACGAACAGAUCCAAAUACUGCCGGAAUAGGCUAUUCAUCAAGUCCAUAAAUAUGGCAGUGCAUUCGUCAACCCGAAGGUCAUAACAAGGAACUCAAAGUGGCCAUAUCGGGUCAUAAAGGCUCUCUUGGGAAUAUCUUUCUCCCAAACCGUGACCUGGUGGUACCCCUGUCACACCUCCUUUUUACACCUACCUAGAAGGAUAAUGUAUAUAGGAGUUUUUUCAUUUAAAGUAAUAUUAUUCGGAUCGAGAUUAUUUAUUUAGAGUCGUCACUUGGAAAAUGUUUGGCUUUUGGUGUCCCAAGUCACUGUUUAUCUUGAGUCCCGAACUGAGGAAAAUUUUUGACUUUCCAAUUGGAGUCUGCGAACUAGAAAUUCUAAGCAAGGAAUUCUGUUGAUACGAGGGAAGGUGUUAGGCACCCCCGAAUCCUGUGGUUCUAGCACGGUCGUUUAAAUUGUUGUAAAUGGCUAAAUAUCUGAUUUUAAUACAUGUUAUGACUUAUGUGCUUUUUAACUUUAAACUGCUUUUAUUAUUAUUUUUUAAAAAGAAUUGCAACUCGAACCAUGUCACAUAAAUGCACCCGCGGUUUUUAACACAUUUCGACUUCGUCGAGAUUUGAAUUUUGGUCACAUGAAUGUGCACCCGUAUUUAGGGAGGUAAAAUUGUUUAAUGACGAGCCUAAAGCAACUAUCGCAUUGUUAACUUUGCGACAUCCAUAAAAGUUUGCUAAAUGGCACGCCUCGAAUUCUAAGAGUUAAAAAUUAGUUAAGUGAGGACCAUGAGUUUUGGAAUUAUGUUUAGCAUGGCGUGCCUUAAAUUAUUUUAAAGGAUUGUACUCAACCAAAGCAAACUACAAAUAUUCAUGGAUUGGAGACCCAAACUUUCCUUUUCACUUCUUUUAGCAUCCUUGAGAUAAUUUGCCUAGCACAGGAAAUCAAGUACCGAGAAUCUAGAGACCAUUAUAAUCUUGUAUUUUGUCUUUUCCUUGUGUUAUCUUCAUUAUGAACAAGCGAACCAGCCAGAACCAAUCGAUUGAACCAAACUUUGAAAUUAGAAAAAACAUGUAUGUCAAAACCUGGCUUCAGUAGUCGACAAAUGACAAAUCACUAGCCAAGAAAUGCUAAAGCCAGAAUGAAGAUUGCUUUACCAUAUGGAGAACAAGAAGCAUAUUCUAAUUCACAUAAAGUAGAUUUCACUUCAACUCAUUUUACAGAUGUUUGAAUAUCUCAUUGUUGUUCUGCUUUAAUAUUAUUCAUCAUGAAAUUAAUAAGCAAAAGCACAACGAUCCAACAAUUAGCAUCUCAAACAACUCAAAUAUAUUUCAAAGUAGUAAAUCCCAUGGUUCAAAUAUACUCAUAACAAGAGCGCAGCCAUGCGUAAGAUCAACCAAGUUUAUAUUAAGUUUAAAAAUAUGAGUACAAUUCGCACAACUCAGGAUGGCUUCACAUGGAAAUUUUAUUUACAUUAUCCAAUUUCAAACAAAACAAAUGCGAUUGAAAUCAGAAUAUCAAACGGAUAAUAACAGUAUCCCAACCAAAGUUAAGAAUUAGAAAUUAACUAAGUAUCAUUUUUGACCCAUUUCAUUAUCUUCAGUAAUUUCCCAAAUUGAAACACCUCACACAACUCAAACAAAUCCGCAAACUCUCAUGAGAGAUUUAUCAAUUCCAUCACUCAAUAUCCAUUUAAUACAAAUAAAAUUCGGAACUUACCUACAUUGAAUAGAAGACAGCACUAGAAUGAGCCACAUGAAGGCAAGAAAACAGUGGCGACGAACCCAGCAAGAGAUUCUGACAAACACAGCAACGGAUUUACCAGCAGCGAACAGCGAUUUCUUCAGUUGAAAAACUUCCAAAGCCCCGGAAAUAC
rnacentral:lncRNA from 1 species